GUGUGAGCUGUGAUAGUGAAGGUGAAGGUGUGAGCUGUGAUGGUGAAGGUGUGAGCUGUGAAGGUGAAGGUGUGAGCUGUGAUGGUGAAGGUGUGAGCUGUGAUGGUGAAGGUGAAGGUGUGAGCUGUGAUGGUGAAGGUGUGAGCUGUGAUGGUGAAGGUGUGAGCUGUGAUGGUGAAGGUGUGAGCUGUGAAGGUGAAGGUGUGAGCUGUGAUGGUGCAGGUGUGAGCUGUGAAGGUGCAGGUGUGAGCUGUGAUCGUGUAGGUGUGAGCUGUGAUGGUGAAGGUGUGAGCUGCCAUUGAAGCCUCAGCUUUUAUGGCUGUUAAAGGCUCUUUAAGGAGAACUUUUUUUUUUUUUUUUUUUUUUUUU
rnacentral:lncRNA from 1 species